rnacentral:rRNA from 1 species
AAGCUCGUAGUUGAAUUUCGAGAUCGGCUUACUGGUCAUGCUAUUGUACGUACUGGUAUAAUCGGUUUCUCCUUUUUGACGAACUAUAAUGCCAUUAAUUUGGUAUUUUAGGGAAUCAGGACUGUUACUUUGAAAAAUUAGAGUGUUUAAAGCAGGCUUACGCUUGAAUACAUUAGCAUGGAAUAAUGGAAUAGGACGUUUGAUUCUAUUUUGUUUGUUUUUAGGAUCGAUGUAAUGAUUAAUAGGGAUAGUUGGG